UGAGGGGGGCUGCUCCUAGUAUGAGAGGACUGUAGGGUUCGCGUCACUGGUGUUCGGGUUGUCAUGCCAAUGGCACUGCCCGGUAGCUAAAUGCGGAAGAGAUAAGUGCUGAAAGCAUCUAAGCACGAAACUUGCCCCGAGAUGAGUUCUCCCUGAGACUUUAAGUCUCCUGAAGGAACGUUAAAGACGAUGACGUUGAUAGGCCGGGUGUGUAAGCGCAGCGAUGCGUUGAGCUAACCGGUACUAAUGAACCGUGAGGCUUAACCUU
rnacentral:rRNA from 1 species